UAGCUGUCCAAAGAAAUUUACGCAAUUUCGGGUCAGUGCUAUUAAUGACUACUUGCCUAUUUUCACUGGCUUAAAAUACGGGAAUAAUCGAUCCGGAAUUGUAACCAAAAUAACGGAAAUUGAGUUUAAUCGAGCAAAGACCAAGGUACAAUUGCAGGAAAGAUAUAACCACAAAAAAUGCCUUCUUUGCAAAUUUUCAUGAGAUAAAGAAACGCAUCAAAUCGGCGAUUCUUCCAUCUACUUAAAAAAUCAAUUACCUUUGGAACUCUUACAACCAGCGCUGAAACAUUAUUUACAGUACUUCAUUGUUUAUAUAACAAAUAUUCUUUUAUGUUCUAAUAAAUGUUUUUCAUAUUAUGAUUA